GUGAACGCUGGCGGUAGGCCUAACCCAUGCAAGUCGAACGGCAGCACAGUAAGAGCUUGCUCUUACGGGUGGCGAGUGGCGGACGGGUUAGGAAUACAUCGGAAUCUACUUUUUCGUGGGGGAUAACGUAGGGAAACUUACGCUAAUACCGCAUACGACCUACGGGUGAAAGCAGGGGAUCUUCGGACCUUGCGCGAUUGAAUGAGUCGAUGUCGGAUUAGCUAGUUGGCGGGGUAAAGGCCCACCAAGGCGACGAUCCGUAGCUGGUCUGAGAGGAUGAUCAGCCACACUGGAACUGAGAGACGGGCCAGACUCCGACGGGAGGCAGCAGUGGGGAAUAUUGGACAAUGGGCGCAAGCCUGAUCCAGCCAUACCGCGUGGGUGAAGAAGGCCUUCGGGUUGUGAAGCCGUUUUGUUGGGAAAGAAAAGCAGCAGGUUAAUACCCCGAUGUUCUGACGGUACCCAAAGAAUAAGCACCGGCUAACUUCGUG
rnacentral:rRNA from 1 species